rnacentral:rRNA from 1 species
CAGUAGCCACGGUAAUACAGAGGGUGCGAGCGUUAAUCGGAUUUACUGGGCGUAAAGCGUGCGUAGGCGGCUUCUUAAGUCGGAUGUGAAAUCCCUGAGCUUAACUUAGUAAUUGCAUUCGAUACUGGGAAGCUAGAGUAUGGGAGAGGAUGGUAGAAUUCCAGGUGUAGCGGUGAAAUGCGUAGAGAUCUGGAGGAAUACCGAUGGCGAAGGCAGCCAUCUGGCCUAAUACUGACGCUGAGGUACGAAAGCAUGGGGAGCAAACAGGAUUAGAUACCCGAGUAGUCCCUGUCUCUUAUAC